AAGACUGGACCUAGAGAGACGGCUUCCGGUACUGUUCGAGGAGAGAGCGAGGCCGUCCCGGAUGCGCACUGCUUGGGCGGGGCUUGGGUGGAGCGCUUCUGGCUCGGGUCGGCUCGCGCUCUCAGGUCCGGCCUGGCCGCGGUCCACGGGACGGGAUGGGGCGCUUUGCGGGAGCGCUUUCGGUAAUAGGAAGAAGUGGAUACGUCCGUAGACGCCACGAUGUUGGGAGAGCGGGCCCGGGCGGAACGUGGGCCAAGAGCUUACGGAACUUGGCGAGCCCAAGGCCGCCCGGACUGGGGCCAGAGGACGAGGCCACGACCGCCGGGCUGGGUCUGGGUUGAACGUGGACGUAGAGAUCUGACUUCAGCCAGCCCGUACAGCUGUGAGCUGGACCCUGGGGACGAGGCCAGGACUCAAGGACCUGCCCGACUGUGUGGCCCGAUCACCUCUGGGCCCCAGGGCGGGGACGUGUCUUUGUUUGGAAUUUCCAACCCUGUCCAUUUCUGGCCCGUCCUGUGGUACAGGAUGGCGUCUUGCCUAUUUACGUUGGUGUUUUCAAUAGUUUGAGGUAGAGCUUCGAGUUAGCAUUCAGCUGUCAAUGCUAAUACGGUUACGUUUUAUCUAGGUGAAAAUGUCUUUCCUCAAAAAGUGUUUUGACAAGAAACAAGUUUUGGCAAGGAUGUGGAGAGAAAGGAACCCUCCUGCACUGUUGGCAGGAAUGCAACUUGGUGUAGGCACUGUGGAAGACCCUAGUAUGGAGGCUCCUCAAAAAGUUAAAAGUAGAACUACCUUCCUACCAGAAAUGGAACUACUUGAACCUAAUUGAAGAAAACCUCUUUUCCCGAAGAGGCAGAGAUGCAAAUCCUGGGAGAGAACGUCAUUUCCAUCUCUAUCUACAUUCACUACGUGCUCAAUCCUUCAAUCCUGUGCUCAUUUCCAGAGAUGUUCAUAGGCCCAAGACCUGGGAUGUAGGAGAUGGGAGCUAAGACUAUUGCUAAAUAAAUAAAUUAAAUAAAUAAAUAAAUAAAU